UACGGGGGGAGCAAGCGUUGUUCGGAUUUACUGGGCGUAAAGGGCGCGUAGGCGGCCAGCACAAGUCAGUUGUGAAAUCUCCGAGCUUAACUCGGAACGGUCAACUGAUACUGUUUUGCUAGAGUACAGAAGGGGCAAUCGGAAUUCUUGGUGUAGCGGUGAAAUGCGUAGAUAUCAAGAGGAACACCUGAGGUGAAGACGGGGUUGCUGGGCUGAUACUGACGCUGAGGCGCGAAAGCUAGGGUAGCAAACGGG
rnacentral:rRNA from 1 species